GAGUGUCCAGCAGGUGGUUCACUCAAGUCUGGCAGGAGGUUCAGGCCUCUCCAGCGUGUGGUUCGUGCCUGUCCAGAAGGUGGUUCUGGCACCUGUUUCUGGCAUAUCUGACAGGUGGUUCCGAUGUGCCUAGUAUGUGGUUCUGGAGUGUCCAUCAAGUGGUUCAGGUGUAUAUGGCAGGUGGUUCAGUCUUGUCUGACAGGUGGUUCAGUUUUGUCUGGAAGUUGGUUCCGGCAUGUUUGGCCAGUGGUAUUGGUGUGUCAUUCUGGUAAAUCCAGUAGGUCAGGCUGGUGGGUUCUGGUGCAGCAAGAGUUUCCGGUAUGUCCAGAGUGUGGUUCCGAGGUGUCUGGCAGGUGGCUAUGGUGUGUCCGGGAACUGAUUCCAUCAUGUCCGGUUGGUGGUUUCAGUGUGUCUGGGGGGUGGUUCUGGCAUGCCCAGGAGUUGGCUCCUAUAUGUCAAGCAGGUGAUUCCCGUGUGUGCGGAAGUCGUUUCUGGAGUAUCCGAGACCUGGUUCUGGCGUUUCCUGCAGGUGAUUUCAGCGUGUCUGGCAGGUUGUUCUGGCGUGUUAGGCAGGUGGUUCCAGCUUGUCUGGCAGGUGGUCCUGGCGUGUCCAGGACCUGGUUCUGGCGUAUCUGGCAGGUGGUUUCACGGUGUCUGGCACCUGGUUCCGCAGUACCUGACAGGUGGUUCUGGCAUGUCUGGCAGCUGCUUCUGGCAUGUCCAGGACCUGACUCUGGCGUCUCCAGCAUGUGGUUCCAGAGUGCCCGGGUGGUGGAUCUGACGUGUCUGGCAGUUUGUUCCAGUGUGUCAGGCAGGUGGUUCAGGCAUUUCCCACGGAUGGUUCAGGUAUGUCUGGCAGGUAGUUCCCACGUAUCCCGCAGGUUGUUCUGACGUGACUGUCAGCUGGUCCAGGUGCAUCUGGCAGAUGGGCCAGGCAUGGCCAUCCUGUGGUCCAGGCUUUUCUGAAACAUGUUUCUGACGUGUCCGAAAGGUGGUUUGGGCAUGUCUGGCAGGUUCUUCAGGUGGGUCCAGCAGAAGGUCCGCGUGUGUCUGGUGGGUGGUUCUGGAAUGUCCGGUGUAUCCUUCUGGCAUAUAUGGCCUUUGGUUCUGGCGUGUCUGGCUGGUGGUUAAGGGUUGUGCUGCAGGUGGUUCCAGCAUGUCCUGGUGGUGGUUCCGUCAUGUCUGGCAGGUGGUUCUGGCAUGUCUGACGGGUUGUUCUGGCAUAUAAGGGACCUGGUUCCGGCAUAUAUGGCAGGUGAUUUUGGUGUAUCCAGCAGGUGGUUCCAGCCAGUCAAGAAGGUGGUUCUGGCAUGUCCAGCAGGUGGUUCAGGCCUGUCAGAAAGGUGGUUUUGAUGCAUCCGGCACCUGGUUCUGGCACAUCUGACAGGUGUGUCCGUCAAGUGGUUCAGGCACAUCUGGCAGGUGGUUCAAUUUUGUCUGGCAGGUGUUUCCGGUGUGUCCAGCCGAUGGUACUGGGUUGUUGGUCUAGUGGGUCAUGCAGGUGGUUCUGGCUUAUCUGGCAGGUGGUUCUGGCGUGUCUGGGAGGUGGUUGUGUGGUGUCAGGUACGUUGAUCUGGCAUGUCCAGCCCUUGGACCAGCCUUGUUUGGUGGGUGGAUCAGUGCUGUCCAGCAGGUUGAUCAUUCAUGUCCGGUGGUUGGUUGCAGCAUAUCCAGUGGUGGUUCUGGCAUGUCCAGAAGGUGGCUCUGUCAUCUCUGGCAGGUGGUUCUGUCGUGUCAUUCAGGUGGUUCUGGCAUGUCUGGAAGGUGGUUCUGAUGUGUCUGAUGGGUGCUUCCAGUGUGUCCGUCAUUUGGUUCCUGCAUGUCCUGUGGGUGAUUCCGGCAUGUCCAGCAGGUGGCUACGGUGUCUAUGGGACCUGAUUCUGUCGUGUCCAGU
rnacentral:lncRNA from 1 species